UGGGGAAUAUUGGGCAAUGGGCGAAAGCCUGACCCAGCAACGCCGCGUGAAGGAAGAAGGCCUUCGGGUUGUAAACUUCUUUGAACAGGGACGAAAGAAAUGACGGUACCUGAAAAACAAGCCACGGCUAACUACGUGCCAGCAGCCGCGGUAAUACGUAGGUGGCGAGCGUUAUCCGGAUUUACUGGGUGUAAAGGGCGUGUAGGCGGUUUUGUAAGUCGGAUGUGAAAUUCCCAGGCUUAACUUGGGAGCUGCAUCCGAAACUACAGAACUUGAGUACUGGAGAGGAUAGUUAGGAGGAACAUCAGUGGCGAAGGCGACUAUCUGGACAGUAACUGACGCUGAUGCGCGAAAGCGUGGGGAGCAAACAGGAUUAGAAACCCGAGUAG
rnacentral:rRNA from 1 species